rnacentral:lncRNA from 1 species
AACUUCUCCUGGUGAGGGAGACGUUCAGCUAUGUAGAGCUCUUCCGGUUCCUUCACAGCCCCAGCCUCCUAGGACCUGCUAGCCGAAUAGAAAAACCGAAGGCGGGUGCGCAGUGAAAACAAGCUGCUGCCUUGGCAGAGUCGGGGCUUUGUUGGUAACUCUGCUGUAUUCUCUCCGCCAUAUUGCUGGUAGGCUCUCUCUUCACUCCAUGGUCGGCGUUUUGCGAGACAGGCAUCAGUGAAAGUUAUGUAGAGGUUGAGCAGAAUCCAGGAGUUACUGUUGUGACAAGAUUUGUGACAAUCCAGUCUGUACUUCUUCAGCUGACUUAACCAAUAUGUCUUGUUCUCCUCAUACCUCUCUGGUUUGCCAAGAUCAUUUUGUAUUUUAAUCCUAUCCUCCAAGCACUUGUAACCCCUUCCAGCUUGUUUUCCACAGACUUGACAAGUGUGUGCUCUAUGCCGUUAUCCAGAGCGCUGAAGAACAGAACAAAUCAUUGAACAGAACCAGACCCUUGACCAUCCCUCCAAUGUUUAGUGCCAUUUAAAGAGAAAGUAGGAGGCAACAACCAUGGUCCUUGCACAGACUGGGUGGUGGCUCUAGCAUUUUUAACAGGCCCAUUCAGUGCAUCCAAAAUUAGCUCUGUUAGUGCCUGUCUGAAGCUGCG